UUGGUGGGGUUGUGGCCUACCAAGGCGACGACGGGUAGCCGGCCUGAGAGGGUGACCGGCCACACUGGGACUGAGACACGGCCCAGACUCCUACGGGAGGCAGCAGUGGGGAAUCUUGCGCAAUGGGCGAAAGCCUGACGCAGCGACGCCGCGUGGGGGAUGAAGGCCUUCGGGUUGUAAACCUCUUUCAGCAGGGAAGAAGCGAAAGUGACGGUACCUGCAGAAGAAGCACCGGCUAACUACGUGCCAGCAGCCGCGGUAAUACGUAGGGUGCAAGCGUUGUCCGGAAUUAUUGGGCGUAAAGAGCUCGUAGGUGGCGGGUCACGUCGGGUGUGAAAGCCCGGGGCUUAACCCCGGGUCUGCAUUCGAUACGGGCUUGCUAGGGUCCGGCAGGGGAGACUGGAAUUCCUGGUGUAGCGGUGAAAUGCGCAGAUAUCAGGAGGAACACCGGUGGCGAAGGCGGGUCUCUGGGCCGGUACCGACGCUGAGGAGCGAAAGCGUGGGGAGCGAACAGGAUUAGAUACCCUGGUAGUCCACGCUGUAAACGUUGGGCGCUAGGUGUGGGGAGCAUUCCACGUUCUCUGUGCCGUAGCUAACGCAUUAAGCGCCCCGCCUGGGGAGUACGG
rnacentral:rRNA from 1 species